rnacentral:lncRNA from 1 species
CAUGGAACCCGUUGCAGAGAGUGGAGCAGGAGGGCGGCUCUUGUCGUGACUCGUCAGAGAGUGGUGGAGCUGCAUGGAACCCAUUGCAGGGAGUGGAGCAGGAGGGCGGCUCUUGUCGUGACUUGUCAGAGAGCUCUGAUCCGUCGGCUGGAGCUCGGUUGGGACAUCUGAUGGAGCGGAAUGGCUCUCUAUUGUUGGUCUGGGAGAAGCUCGGAUGUCCCUGAAGCUGCUGAUGAGUCUACUGUUGUCGGGUGGCUUAGGC